AGUGAUAUACACAAGUAGUGUGUCUAUAUAUAUAUAUAUUUAUAUAUAUAUAUAUAUAUUUAUAUAUAUAUACACACACACAUAUAAGGUUCCCCAAAAUACAUGAUACUCUGGCUCAGGCUGGGGCUUAAGCAUCUGCUUCUACAGGUUCCAAUUUGCAGACCUGCUGCUUCAGCCACUUUGGAGCAGCUUUUGCAUAGGCAUUUUGUCUUCAUGUGCUCCCCUUUCCAGCAGCAAGGACUUGGAGGCACCGUGGGCAGGGAGUGCUUGAGGACUCGGCAGUGUAUCUCCUGCAGCGAGGGCAUUUUGCUUUGGCAAUGGGUUGGGCUAUAACUUUGUAUGAAGAUUGUUCACAGAUGUCACCACCUGUCAAAGAAAGUGUAAUUGUUGAGAGAGAGGCUGGAGCUGUAGGUAAGACUCAAGCCAUGAACAACCUGUGUUGUAGUGCAGGAGUCUGUCUGGAAUGGUUUUCUUACCUUCCAAGUUAAUCAGAAAGGUCCCUUUUAUGAUGUUUGCAUCUGAAGGUAUUUCUUUGGGGAGCUCGCUCAGCAGGGUUGUCUGGGAAGCCAUCAUUAUCUCAUUUAGCUGGGAAACACUGGAAGUUUCUUCAGCCUGCAGUGCCUGGGGGACAGAGAGCUUUCAGACUUGGAACUUGGUUUUGUUUCUCAGCACCAACCAGUCUAGAAAAUAAACACUGAGCUGUGGUUCCUAAUCAGAGUGGAUGGUUUGAACCAAGAGUCUGGUUUACUCCUGCUAGGAGGAGGACAGACUUGAACUGCAGUGGCCAAGAGAAAGGUGCCUGAGGGCCAAGCAGCUGCCAAUAAGCCAGGGACAGGGACAGCAGCAUCCCACCUUGGGAUGCUGCAUUAGACCAUUGCCAGCAGGGUAAAGGUGGUCCUCUUCCAAGAAACCAAAGCUGAUUUUUUUAGUGUGAGGGUGGUCAAAUACUGGCACGGGCAGCCCAGAGAGCUGGCAGGAUCUCCAUCCUCAGAACUAUCCAAAAACCAAUGGACAGAGGCCUGGGCAACCUGUUGUAAGUAAGCCUGCCUGUGCAAGGAGCUGUACUGUACAGGCUCCAGCAGUGCCUUCCACCUCAACCAUUCUGUGAUUCUCUGGCAGCAGGAACGAACUCACCUGUCUUUGAUCAUGCUGAAAUAGAAGUUAGACAAGCUUCUGGAACAGAAUGAUUGCAGCAGUCGAACAACUUUGCUAUAAUCAUAUUGUUUGUAAGCUUCUGUAACCUGGGAGAGGGAGCAUUGAGCACCACAGGCCCAAUCAUCACCUCUGUGAAAACAUUGGAUUCUGCCACCCACCAGCGGAGAACAUCGGCACCAUAUGGAGGAUCCUUGGUGUGAUCCUGAGGACAGACAGAGCCAUAGAAUAUCUCCAGCUGAAAGGGAUCCAUAGGGAUCAUCCAGUCCAACUCCCUGUUCCACGCAGGACUACCUAUAAUUUUAUGUGCCCAGAGGCUACUGUGCUUGGAGGCUUCCCCCUCUUUUAGUAACUCACACCUGCAGCACUCUGUGUACAGGCAAUGCUAGAACCUAGGUAAGCUGAGAGAAACUCAUCUGCAGCCUUAAAUCCUUUGAAUGCUUCUCAUUAAAAUAGCCAUGUUAGUAUCUAAA